UCGGGAAUUUUGGGCAAUGGGCGAAAGCCUGACCCAGCAACGCCGCGUGAAGGAUGAAGUUUCUCGGAAUGUAAACUUCAUAAGAAUGGGACGAAUAAGAGUGGGCUAACACCCUUCUCGAUGACGGUACCAUUUGUAAGCCCCGGCUAACUCCGUGCCAGCAGCCGCGGUAAUACGGGGGGGGCAAGCGUUGUUCGGAUUUACUGGGCGUAAAGGGCGCGUAGGCGGCGCAACAAGUCAGCUGUGAAAUCUCCGGGCUUAACUCGGAGCGGCCAGCUGAUACUGUCGUGCUAGAGUGCGGAAGGGGCAACUGGAAUUCUCGGUGUAGCGGUGAAAUGCGUAGAUAUCGAGAGGAACACCUGCGGCGAAGGCGGGUUGCUGGGCCGACACUGACGCUGAGGCGCGAAAGCUAGGGGAGCGAACGG
rnacentral:rRNA from 1 species